rnacentral:tRNA from 1 species
GGGACUAUAGCUCAGUCGGUUAGAGCACUACACUGAUAAUGUAGGGGUCGCUGGUUCGAGUCCAGCUAGUCCCA